rnacentral:rRNA from 1 species
GCCAUCGGGUAAUGCCGGGCACUCUGGAAGGACUGCCAUCGACAAGAUGGAGGAAGGUGGGGAUGACGUCAAGUCAUCAUGGCCCUUAUGUCCAGGGCGACACACGUGCUACAAUGGCCGGCACAACGGGAAGCGAGUUCGCGGGGACGAGCGGAUCCCUCAAAGCCGGUCGCAGUUCGGAUUGAAGUCUGCAACUCGACUUCAUGAAGCUGGAAUCGCUAGUAAUCGUGGAUCAGCCAAGCCGCGGUGAAUACGUUCCCGGGCCUU